GACGAACGCUGGCGGCGUGCUUAACACAUGCAAGUCGAGCGAUGAAGCACCUUCGGGUGUGAAUUAGCGGCGAACGGGUGAGGAACACGUGAAGAAUCUGCCUUCAACUCUGGGAUAACUCCGGGAAACCGGGGCUAAUACCGGAUAUGAGCCUUGAUCGCAUGAUCGGGGCUGGAAAGUUUUUCGGUUGAAGAUGACUUCGCGGCCUAUCAGCUUGUUGGUGCGGUAAUGGCUCACCAAGGCGACGACGGGUAGCCGGCCUGAGAGGGCGACCGGGCACACGGGGACUGAGACACGGACCAGACGCCUACGGGAGGCAGCAGUGGGGAAUAUUGCACAAUGGGCGCAAGCCUGAUGCAGCGACGCCGCGUGAGGGAUGACGGCCUUCGUGUUGUAAACCUCUUUCAGCACCGACGAAGCGCAAGUGACGGUAGGUGCAGAAGAAGGACCGGCCAACUACGUGCCAGCCGCCGCCGUAA
rnacentral:rRNA from 1 species